rnacentral:rRNA from 1 species
GUGGGGAAUAUUGGACAAUGGGGGAAACCCUGAUCCAGCCAUGCCGCGUGUGUGAAGAAGGCCUUCGGGUUGUAAAGCACUUUAAGCGAGGAGGAAGGUUCGUUACUUAAUACGUAACGGAAUUGACGUUACUCGCAGAAUAAGCACCGGCUAACUCUGUGCCAGCAGCCGCGGUAAUACAGAGGGUGCAAGCGUUAAUCGGAAUUACUGGGCGUAAAGCGCGCGUAGGCGGUUGUGUAAGUUGGAUGUGAAAUCCCCGGGCUUAACCUGGGCACUGCAUUCAAAACUGCACGGCUAGAGUAUGGGAGAGGAAGGUAGAAUUCCAGGUGUAGCGGUGAAAUGCGUAGAGAUCUGGAGGAAUACCGAUGGCGAAGGCAGCCUUCUGGCCUAAUACUGACGCUGAGGUGCGAAAGCAUGGGGAGCAAACAGG